GACGAACGCUGGCGGCGUGCUUAACACAUGCAAGUCGAACGGAAAGGCCCUGCUUUUGUGGGGUGCUCGAGUGGCGAACGGGUGAGUAACACGUGAGUAACCUGCCCUUGACUUUGGGAUAACUUCAGGAAACUGGGGCUAAUACCGGAUAGGAGCUCCUGCUGCAUGGUGGGGGUUGGAAAGUUUCGGCGGUUGGGGAUGGACUCGCGGCUUAUCAGCUUGUUGGUGGGGUAGUGGCUUACCAAGGCUUUGACGGGUAGCCGGCCUGAGAGGGUGACCGGCCACAUUGGGACUGAGAUACGGCCCAGACUCCUUCGGGAGGCAGCAGUGGGGAAUAUUGCACAAUGGGCGGAAGCCUGAUGCAGCAACGCCGCGUGCGGGAUGACGGCCUUCGGGUUGUAAACCGCUUUCGCCUGUGACGAAGCGUGAGUGACGGUAAUGGGUAAAGAAGCUCCGGCUAACUACGUG
rnacentral:rRNA from 1 species